rnacentral:rRNA from 1 species
UACGAACCACACAAACGUUAUUCGGAAUUACUGGGCUUAAAGGGUGCGCAGGCGGCGCGGCAAGUUGGGUGUGAAAUCCCUCGGCUCAACCGAGGAACUGCGCCCAAAACUACCGUGCUCGAGGGAGAUAGAGGUGAGCGGAACUUAGGGUGGAGCGGUGAAAUGCGUUGAUAUCCUAAGGAACACCCGUGGCGAAAGCGGCUCACUGGGUCUCUUCUGACGCUGAGGCACGAAAGCUAGGGUAGCGAACGAG